GGAGGUCACUGCUAUUGGGAUUCGACUAAGCCAUGCGAGUCGAGAGGGUUCGGCCCUCGGCUGACGGCUCAGUAACACGUGGAUAAUCUACCCUUAGGUGGAGGAUACUCUCGGGAAACUGAGAAUAAUACUCCAUAGGUCUAGGAUGCUGGAAUGCACCUAGGUUGAAAGUUCCGGCGCCUAAGGACGAGUCUGCGGACUAUCAGGUUGUGGUUAGGGUAAAGACCUGACUAGCCUACGACGGAUACGGGUUGUGAGAGCAAUAGCCUGGAGACGAUAUCUGAGACACGAUAUCGGGCCCUACGGGGCGCAGCAGGCGCGAAAUCUUCACAAUGUGCGAAAGCACGAUGAGGGGAUCCCAAGUGUUGGCUCGUAAGAGUCAUCUGUUUCUUUGUCUAAAAAACAGAGAGAGUAAGGGCUGGGUAAGACGGGUGCCAGCCGCCGCGGUAAUACCUGCAGCUCAAGUGGUGAUCAUUAUUAUUGGGCCUAAAACGUCCGUAGCCGGUUUAGUAAAUGCCUGGGUAAAUCGUGUAGCUUAACUACACGGCUUCCGGGUAGACUGCUAAACUUGAGACCGGGAGAGGCUAGAGGUACUCCUGGGGUAGGGGUGAAAUCUUAUAAUCCCGGGAGGACCACCAGUGGCGAAGGCUGUCGGCUAGAACGCGCUCGACGGUGAGGGACGAAAGCUGGGGGAGCGAACCGGAUUAGAUACCCGGGUAGUCCCUGCUGUAAACGAUGCGAGCUAGGUGUUGGGGCGGCUACGAGCCGCUUCAGUGCCGCAGCGAAGGCGUUAAGCUCGCCGCCUGGGGAGUACGGCCGCAAGGCUGAAACUUAAAGGAAUUGGCGGGGGAGCACCACAAGGCGUGAAGCUUGCGGUUCAAUUGGAGUCAACGCCGGGAACCUUACCGGGGGCGACAGCAGGAUGAAGGCCAGGUUGAUGGUCUUGCUGGACGAGCUGAGAGGAGGCGCAUGGCCGUCGUCAGUUCGUGCCGUGAGGUGUCCUCUUAAGUGAGGUAACGAUCGAGACCCGCGCCCCUUGUUGCUAACAGACUCCAUUGGGGUCUGUGCACACUAGGGGGACCGCCGUCGAUAAGACGGAGGAAGGAGCGGGCCACGGCAGGUCAGUAUGCCCCGAAUCCCCCGGGCCACACGCGAGCUGCAAUGGCAGGGACAAUGGGUGUCGACUCCGAAAGGAGGAGGUAAUCCUAACCCUGCCUCAGUUGGGAUCGAGGCUGAACCCGUCCUCGUGAAUAUGAAUGCCUAAUAAUC
rnacentral:rRNA from 1 species